UACGUAGGGUGCAAGCGUUGUCCGGAAUUAUUGGGCGUAAAGAGCUCGUAGGCGGUCUGUUGCGUCGGCUGUGAAAACCCGAGGCUCAACCUCGGGCCUGCAGCCGAUACGGGCAGACUAGAGUUCGGCAGGGGAGACUGGAAUUCCUGGUGUAGCGGUGAAAUGCGCAGAUAUCAGGAGGAACACCGGUGGGCGAAGGCGGU
rnacentral:rRNA from 1 species